AACGGCAGCACGGGAGCAUCCUGGUGGCGAGUGGCGAACGGGUGAGUAAUAUAUCGGAACGUGCCCAGUCGUGGGGGAUAACGCAGCGAAAGCUGUGCUAAUACCGCAUACGAUCUAUGGAUGAAAGCGGGGGAUCGCAAGACCUCGCGCGAUUGGAGCGGCCGAUAUCAGAUUAGGUAGUUGGUGGGGUAAAAGCUCACCAAGCCGACGAUCUGUAGCUGGUCUGAGAGGACGACCAGCCACACUGGAACUGAGACACGGUCCAGACUCCUACGGGAGGCAGCAGUGGGGAAUUUUGGACAAUGGGCGCAAGCCUGAUCCAGCAAUGCCGCGUGCAGGAUGAAGGCCUUCGGGUUGUAAACUGCUUUUGUACGGAACGAAACGGUCCUUUCUAAUACAAGGGGCUAAUGACGGUACCGUAAGAAUAAGCACCGGCUAAC
rnacentral:rRNA from 1 species